rnacentral:rRNA from 1 species
GUCCACGCCGUAAACGAUGAGUGCUAGGUGUCACGGGCUUUGACCCUCGUGGUGCCGUAGCUAACGCAAUAAGCACUCCGCCUGGGGAGUACGGCCGCAAGGCUAAAAACUCAAAGGAAUUGACGGGGGCCCGCACAAGCGGUGGAGCAUGUGGUUUAAUUCGACGCGACGCGCAGAACCUUACCUGGGCUAGAAAACACAGGAACCCGGGUGAAAACUCGGGGUGCCCUUCGGGGAAUCUGUGGUUAGGUGUUGCAUGGCUGUCGU